rnacentral:tRNA from 1 species
GGUGAGGUGCCGGAGUGGACUAACGGGACGGCCUGGAGCGCCGUGCCCCUUUACAGGGGCUCGUGGGUUCGAAUCCCACCCUCACCG